rnacentral:tRNA from 1 species
GGAUUGUGGCUCAGUGGUAAAGUGUUCAUCUAGCACGUAUGAGGCACUGGGUUCGAUCCCAAGCACCA